rnacentral:rRNA from 1 species
UACGUAGGGCGCAAGCGUUGUCCGGAUUCACUGGGUGUAAAGGGUGCGCAGGCGGACUGGCAAGUCAGGGGUGAAAUCUCACAGCUCAACUGUGAAACUGCCUUUGAUACUGCUGGUCUUGAGUCAGGGAGAGGUUGAUGGAAUUCCUGGCGUAGCGGUGAAAUGCGCAGAUAUCAGGAAGAACACCCGUGGCGAAGGCGGCUCUCUGGGACGGUACUGACGCUGAGACGCGAAAGCGUGGGGAGCGAACAGG